AUUGAACGCUGGCGGCAGGCCUAACACAUGCAAGUCGAGCGAGCGGCGGACGGGUGAGUAAUGCCUGGGAAUUGCCCAGUCGAGGGGGAUAACAGUUGGAAACGACUGCUAAUACCGCAUACGAUUGGAUUGCCCAGGUGGGAUUAGCUAGUUGGUGAGGUAAUGGCUCACCAAGGCGACGACCCCUAGCUGGUUUGAGAGGAUGAUCGGCGUAACUGGAACUGAGACUCUGCCCAGACUCCUACGGUAGGCAGCAGAGGGGAAUAUUGCACAAUGGGGGAAACCCUUAUGCAUCCAUGCCGCGUGUGUGAAGACGGCCUGCGGGUUGUAAAGCACUUUCAGCGAGGAGGCGUUACUCGCAGAAGAAGCACCGGCUAACUCCGUGCCAGCAGCCGCGGUAAUAC
rnacentral:rRNA from 1 species